CCUACGGGUGGCAGCAGUGAGGAAUAUUGGUCAAUGGGCGCGAGCCUGAACCAGCCAAGUAGCGUGAAGGAUGACUGUCCUACGGGUUGUAAACUUCUUUUAUAAAGGAAUAACGUGAGGCACGCGUGCCUUUUUGUAUGUACUUUAUGAAUAAGGAUCGGCUAACUCCGUGCCAGCAGCCGCGGUAAUACGGAGGAUCCGAGCGUUAUCCGGAUUUAUUGGGUUGAAAGGGAGCGUAGAUGGGGUGUUAAGUCAGUUGUGAAAGUUUGCGGCUCAACCGUAAAAUUGCAAUUGAUACUGGCAGCCUUGAGUACAGUAGAGGUAGGCGGAAUUCGUGGUGUAGCGGUGAAAUGCUUAGAUAUCACGAAGAACUCCGAUUGCGAAGGCAGCUUACUGACCUGCCACUGACAUUGAGGCUCGAAAGUGUGGGUAUCAAACAGGAUUAGAUACCCUGGUAGUC
rnacentral:rRNA from 1 species